rnacentral:lncRNA from 1 species
AAGGGGCUUCGGUGGCCAAGUGGUUAGCGCACUUGCCUUUCACCUCUGAGGCUGCAGGUUCGAGUCUCACUAAGUACCUUCUCAGUGCGACUCGAACCCAGUCCCCAUGUGAAAAGAGUAAAAAGUCAACGCUCUGCCGAAAGCCGUGGGUUUUCCCCGGGUACUCCGGUUUCCUCCCACAGGGAAAGUUGACAGGGUGGGUUAGGUAAAAAAAGGCCCACAGUAAUUGGCAUAUGCUGUUGUGGUGACCCUGCCCUAGUUGGCAAAGCUAAAUAAAUAAAUAAAUAAAUAAAUGCUUUCAUGGGAA